rnacentral:rRNA from 1 species
UGGAUUUCUGGGAGGGUGCCAUGUCCGCCGACGUGCGUGCGCAGCGGCGCCCUCUCAUCCUUCUGUUAACGUCUCUCGGCAUUCAUUUGCCGGUGGCGGGCUCAGAUAUUUACCUGAGAAAAUUAGAGUGUUUCAGGCAAGGCUAGGCCCCGGAAUUAACAUUAGCCAUGGAAAUUAAAAUGGAAUAGGACUUCGGUCUCUCUGUUGGUUUGAGGGACUGCAGUAAUGAUUAAUAGGGAUAGUUGGGGGCAUUAGUAUUUAAUUGUCAGAGGUGGAAUUCUCGGAUUUGUUAAAGACUAACUUAUGCGAAAGCAUUUGCCAAGGAUGUUUUCAUUAAUCAAGAACGAA